GGAUGUUUAGUUUAAGCUAGAGAAUACCAGUUUAGCAAUUUGGAGGUUUUACAUCCA
rnacentral:tRNA from 1 species